rnacentral:rRNA from 1 species
GACGAACGCUGGCGGCGUGCUUAACACAUGCAAGUCGAACGGAAAGGCCCUGCUUGCAGGGUACUCGAGUGGCGAACGGGUGAGUAACACGUGGGUGAUCUGCCCUGCACUUCGGGAUAAGCCUGGGAAACUGGGUCUAAUACCGGAUAGGAGCCAUUUUUAGUGUGAUGGUUGGAAAGUUUUUUCGGUGUAGGAUGAGCUCGCGGCCUAUCAGCUUGUUGGUGGGGUAAUGGCCUACCAAGGCGGCGACGGGUAGCCGGCCUGAGAGGGUGGACGGCCACAUUGGGACUGAGAUACGGCCCAGACUCCUACGGGAGGCAGCAGUGGGGAAUAUUGCACAAUGGGUGCGAGCCUGAUGCAGCGACGCCUCGUGGGGGAUGACGGCCUUCGGGUUGUAAACUCCUUUCGCUAGGGACGAAGCUUUUUGUGACGGUACCUAGAUAAGAAGCACCGGCUAACUACGUG